UACGUAGGGGGCAAGCGUUGUCCGGAUUUACUGGGCGUAAAGAGCGCGUAGGCGGUCUGUUAAGUGAGAAGUGAAAUCUCUGGGCUCAACCCAAAAAUUGCUUUUCAUACUGGCAGACUGGAGUGAUGCAGAGGUUUGUGGAAUUCCUGGUGUAGCGGUGAAAUGCGUUGAUAUCAGGAGGAACACCGAUGGCGAAGGCAGCAAACUGGGCAUUAACUGACGCUGAGGCGCGAAAGCGUGGGUAGCAAACAGG
rnacentral:rRNA from 1 species